rnacentral:rRNA from 1 species
UACAUGUGUAGGAUAGGUGGGAGGCUAUGAAGACGUGACGCCAGUUGCGUUGGAGCCGUCCUUGAAAUACCACCCUUGUAUGUUUGAUGUUCUAACUUAGCCCCAUUAUCUGGGGUGAGGACAGUGCCUGGUGGGUAGUUUGACUGGGGCGGUCUCCUCCCAAAGAGUAACGGAGGAGCACGAAGGUGGGCUAAUCACGGUUGGACAUCGUGAGG